CACACACACAUACACACACACGGGGUCAAGUAGAGAAGCAUGUGAUGCCUUUAUAUCAGGCCCAAAAUCUACUCAUCUCAGGUCAGCACAGUUCACACAACCAACAGCACUUCAACCACAAACUUCAGACUCAAUAAUUGUACUUGAGGAAAAGUAGCUUAAAGAGCUUGUGAUAGAUGUUGUUUCUCUAUUUUCUUCGUUUUCUGUUGGCCACGAAGCCCACGCCACACCACCGAAUACACAUCUACAGUACAAACAGGCAGGAUUUCAUCACCUGAAAUGUUUUAGGAUUUAAUUUGAGAACUAAAUCCAACAAAGCCAUAGACAUAUCUCAAACUCGCAGAUUUCAAAUCUUUUCAAAACGACACUGCAUGUAGUGUGUGUGUAUGCCGUGAAUGAAAGAAUG